UACGGGGGGGGGCAAGCGUUGUUCGGAAUUACUGGGCGUAAAGGGCUCGUAGGCGGUCAACUACGUCAGACGUGAAAUCCCUCGGCUUAACCGGGGAACUGCGUCUGAUACUGGAUGGCUUGAAUCCGGGAGAGGGAUGCGGAAUUCCAGGUGUAGCGGUGAAAUGCGUAGAUAUCUGGAGGAACACCGGUGGCGAAGGCGGCAUCCUGGACCGGCAUUGACGCUGAGGAGCGAAAGCCAGGGGAGCAAACGGG
rnacentral:rRNA from 1 species